AUGGCUUGGCCUCUUGUUUGCCUCCUAAUGCUCACCUUCUGCUCAGGCUCCCUCUCCCAGCCUGUCCUGACUCAGCCUCCCUCUGUUUCUGCAUCCCUGGGGAGCACAGCCAGACUCUCCUGCACCCUGAGCAGUGGGUACAGUAAUUAUAAUGCUCAUUGGUACCAGCAGAGCUCAGGAAAGGCCCCUCAGUACCUCAUGUGGGUUGACAGUGAUGGAGAUAUAGGCAGGGCCGAUGGGAUCCCUGAGCGCUUCUCUGGCUCCAGCUCUGGGGCUGAUCGAUUCCUGUCCAUAAGCAACGUCCAGCCUGAGGAUGAAGCUGAUUAUUACUGCGGGAAAGAUUAUAGCAGUGGUGGUUAUCGUUAUCCACAGUGA